UGAGGAAUAUUUGUCAAUGGGCGAGAGCCUGAACCAGCCAAGUAGCGUGCAGGAUGACGGCCCUAUGGGUUGUAAACUGCUUUUAUGUGGGGAUAAAGUGCGUGACGUGUCAUGCAUUGCAGGUACCAUAUGAAUAAGGACCGGCUAAUUCCGUGCCAGCCGCCGCGGUAAUACGGAAGGUCCGGGCGUUAUCCGGAUUUAUUGGGUUUAAAGGGAGCGUAGGCUGUCUAUUAAGCGUGUUGUGAAAUUUACCGGCUCAACCGGUGGCUUGCAGCGCGAACUGGUCGACUUGAGUAUGCAGGAAGUAGGCGGAAUUCAUGGUGUAGCGGUGAAAUGCUUAGAUAUCAUGACGAACUCCGAUUGCGCAGGCAGCUUACUGUAGCAUAACUGACGCUGAUGCUCGAAAGUGCGGGUAUCAAACAGG
rnacentral:rRNA from 1 species